rnacentral:rRNA from 1 species
UACGGAGGGUGCGAGCGUUGUCCGGAAUCAUUGGGCGUAAAGGGUCCGCAGGCGGAAAAAUAAGUCAGUGGUGAAAUCUCACAGCUCAACUGUGAAACUGCCAUUGAUACUGUUUUUCUUGAAUUCGAUCGAAGUGGGCGGAAUGUGACAUGUAGCGGUGAAAUGCUUAGAUAUGUCACAGAACACCGAUAGCGAAGGCAGCUCACUAGGUCUGGAUUGACGCUCAGGGACGAAAGCGUGGGGAGCAAACAGG